rnacentral:rRNA from 1 species
UACAGAGGGUGCGAGCGUUAAUCGGAAUGAUUGGGCGUAAAGGGCGCGUAGGCGGUAAGAGAAGUUGGAUGUGAAAUCCCUAGGCUUAACCUGGGAACUGCAUCCAAAACUAGCUUACUUGAGUUCAGCAGAGGGAAGUAGAAUUUCCAGUGUAGCGGUGAAAUGCGUAGAUAUUGGAAGGAAUACCAGUGGCGAAGGCGACUUUCUGGGCAUGAACUGACGCUGAGGCGCGAAAGCAUGGGGAGCGAACAGGAUUAGAUACCCCCGUA